UCGUGCUUUGACCUCUCGACAUGAAGCCCCGAAAAAUAAAUGAAGUUCCUCUAAUGACCACUUGAGGCUGGCUCUAAAAGCGAGUCAGUCUCAGCAGAUUCAUGUGUUAAAAUUCUCACUUUUUGAAAGCGUACUUUUACAGACUAGUAAAAAAAAGUUUGGGCGUCUUAAUUAUUUUAUUUUAUUUUAUUUUUUUAAAAUGAGCAAUCCAUCGUGAUACUGGGCUUCGUGAGUGGCAACUUUCCUUACACCUGCUGUGGAAGCCAGUCUUGUCUGUUAUGGCUCACCUCGCUAGUAUGACUUUUGUGACUUAUGUGGCGUUUUUGGAGGAUUUUAAUGGAAUUAUCUGACAUUUAUAUUAUGGCUUUCUGUAUGUUACAGCCUGACGAAGAAGCGAGAGGUGCAGCUACCUCUCUCAGCAUCCCAGCAGAGGAGACAUAGUUGCUGCAUUGGAAUGAAGACUUCUUUUUGACAUUGAUGCACCUUUGUGGUAUUAUAUGCAAAUUGACUGGGAUAAAGGCGGAGGCUGUUUGAUGUGCAAAUGAUGAAUUUGGGGCACUGAAAAUGUGCAUACCACUGCUUUUCUGUUAAUUGCCUUCCCCGUGGAGUCCUGAAAGUUUAUUAGAAAAAGAAUGAAUGUUAGCAUACAGAGAACAGUUUUUGGAUAUCACACUCUAAACCAGUGAAGGAUGUAGUUUAUUCAAAAUCACAACUCUGAAUAAAAUCAUAUGCUGUAAUUUCCUUUUUCUUUUUUUUUUUUGUCAACCAGAGUCCAUGUCUUACAGUCACAUAGGGGGAAGGCUUUUAGCCUUUUUUUGUAUUGUUACAGUAAAUGUAGCCAGUGUUAAAAGAAACGAGUUUGUUUAUUGUACUGGUUCAAACUGCAGUGUGAGCCACAAAAUCAGAUACAUUAUCUCGCAUUAAUUGAUUCUCACCAUACAUAAAAGUGUAAUAACUUGAGCUAAUUGCACUUUAUAUCCAUGUCAGUUAUCACCACAGCCUAAUACCCUACACUCCUAAAGAAACAAACAAAAAACCAGUAGUUCAGUCUACAUACUGUCAGUACCAGUCAAAAUGCACAUACCUAACCAAGCUUUGAUCAGUUAUAGAUGGUGUGUGUGAUCAAAGACAUAAAGUCCAUAUGACUUGCAUAAUACAUUAUCCAUUGUUCUGUUUAAGUUAACUAAAGCACAUCAAACAGAUUGCAUAGAGGUCUGCUUACAGGCAAAAGAACAUAGCUUCCAAUGCGUAGAAAUGGAUCGAUCCAUCCAUUGCUUUAUUCAUUUUCUGCUGCUUCUUAUCUGAGCCUGGGUGAUAGUCAUGGGGGCAGCAGUCUAAACAGAGAAGCCCAGACCUCCCUUUCUCCAGUCACCUCCCCCAAAUCAUAUGGGGACACGUAGGUAUUCCCAAUUCAGCAGAUAAAUGUAUAUCGUUCCUGCCUCUCCUAGGUUUGCCCAGGACCUCUUGAUUGGUAGCUAAACUCUAUAAACAGAUAUCUACAAAUCGAUAUAUUCAACCUGUGCACAAGAGACAAGUUCAUUUGAAACUUCGUAGUGUUAAAAUGUUUGAUCUAUUAGCAUUAAACAGUAAGUGGUGGAUGUUACACAAAGUCAGGCCCAAAUAGAAUUGCAACUAGAUAACCAGAAAAUUAUAGCACCAUCUUUUAUUCGUUGAGUAAAGCAAGUCUUUCAGUGUGUGUGUGUGUGUGUGUGUGUUUUUUUCCCCUCCUCUAAAAAAAAAUCAAAAAAAAAAAAAUCAUAGCAUUCAUUGAUGAUUGAGAUCCUUAGAGCUAUCAGCAAUUGUUCUGUGCUGAAAGCAUAAAAUUUUCUUUGACAUCAGGGUUUGCUUUAAUCCAAUAUGACAUGUAUAGUGAAAUGAAAAUGUAUAUGGACUAUUGUGUGCCUUUUUUAUAGUCAUGUCUAAUAAAAAGAUGGUUUGAUUAGUCAAACACAACUGUAACUAACAGCAUUAAUAGUAGCUAUAUUCCAUUUUCUAUUCCUGGUGCCAGGGCCCUGAAUGCUGUCUCACUGGAGCACUUGCGUGGAGCUGAGACAGCAUUCAUGCUAUUUUCUUUCCUUCUCUUUUCUUUUCUCGCUACAUGUAACAUUAGCAGCAGUUUUUUAACUUAAUAUAAUUUUCUUUUUAUUGGACUUUUCCAUAGGUGGGUUUUAAAAUAUAUAUAAUUUCUAAAAUUCAGGGUAUACAAGAGAUUAAGCACUUUUUAAAGGAUUAAUUUUGGACUAUAUUUUUGGUAUUUAAAAAAAGAAAGAAAAAAAAGAAAGAAAAACCAGUGAAAAGGUCAAAACCAAAAUAGGUAUUCAGUCCAUCACUCAGCACGCUUGACUGUUUGUUAUGCUGAGUUGCUUGCAGAGGUGUUUCUAUUUUGUUACUUUUUGGUUCCUUUUUUUUGCAAGUAGUGUAUAGGUUGACAGACAUCCACUUGAACAAGUUUAGUUUUCCAAAAGAAGUUAAUUAUCCUGCCAAAAGUAUUCCACAGUUUGGCUUGUAGCAAGCAUUUACAGUGGUCUGUUUGAAUUUAGUUUUUUCCAGAACCAAACAGUUCCGAGAACAUGCUGAGGGUAACUACUCAGCUGUGGGCUGUUCAGAGAAAUAAUGCUUCAGGGGCUUUUUUGGUUCACAUUUGAACCACCAAUGGAGUGCCAAAAUGAUUUAACAUGCAGCCAGGAGUUGGUACAGGAGUAUAUAGGCUUGAUAAAGCUGGCUUUCACAGUCAGUCCAAUAGUCUUUAUUCUGUUCCAUUUUAAGACUGAUGUCAAGAGCUGUUGCUUGGCUAAGGUUUUACUUAUGUUUAUACAGGUUUUUUUUUUUUUUGUUCUUGUUCAAAAGGGAAUCAUUAUGCAGCAUUAUGUAUGGCAUCAAUCAACAUAUACUUGGUUCACCCAAAGUUUCCUCUCUGACUUAGUGAGAAGUAAAAACUAAAAAUGAUAAUUGUGCUGUUGGCCUACAGUGAGGAAUCAAAAGGGGCGUCUUUGGAAGAGAGAGAUAAAAAGUAUUAAAAGCUCCUCGUCUAAAAGGGUACUGUCUGGUCAAGUAUACCAACUGAUAUAAAAUGGUGCUAUUUUUAAAGGCAAAGGGUGGACACAGAAAAUAUUAGAUUGAUGUUGUUUACGUCUAAUUAAUUGCCAGACUUACCCAAAGUGCAAUAAAGAAUCUGGCAAUUAAUUAAUGUUUCAUUUUCUAUUAAGGCUCAAAUAAGAGGCAGAAAAUGGAUGAAUGGAUAUUUGGAAGGAUGGGUGGAUUUUAUUUAUUUAUUUAUUUAUGUUAAGAUCAAUAAUGCAUUUCUACGAGCAAUUGUGUUAAAUAUUCAUGAUUUAAGUUAUGAUCAAAAUAAUUGUGACUAUGAAUUUUAAUCAAGCCCAAGAGCAGCUCUAGAUAUAGUAUAUAGUCAAGUCCUUGUUUAAUUAUUGCUUUAAAUCAUUAUUUUUAGGAAUUUACUGUGUAAGUAACACCCAAGAGUACUGCAUAUGAACUCACACGCAGUCUUGAAUCAUACAGUACAUAACCACUGUCAUAUUGUUCCAAUUUUUCAAUUUUUUAUGUCUGGAAAAACUGAUUUAUUUUGAGUGAGAGUGCCCCAACAGCAGAUUGUCAGAUAGGAAAACAGGCAACUUGUGAAUUCUCAGUGGCUUUUGAUGUUCUUGCACUGUGCUGUUGGUCCAUUGCUCCAGCCCCACUGUGAUUUACUUUCUUGCUGCAUUGAGUUUGUUUACUGGCAAUAUGUUGAAGACAACAACUCUAUUCUUGUAACAUUGCAUGCUUAGUUGCUUGGUUGUCGUAUUUGAUAAUAGAUUAAGGUAUUGUCUAUUAACCUACCUACAAGCCUAUAAAGAAAAAAAAAUUAAUGUUUUAGUAUGUUUUGGUAGUUUUGGUAUGUUGAAAUCUGUAUUCAUUUUAAAGUUGCACAUAUAAUGUUUCUUAUUAAGAUUUAUCUAGUAUUUCCAUUCAAAGCAGGAGAGUGCACUGUCUCCUCAGUGCUGAGAAAUUCAAUGCAUCACAGGCCAAGUUGCAGUGUACUGAGGAACUAAAUCAUUUGCUCUCUUAACACGCUCACAGCUGCCUGUAGAUAAGGGUUUGUCUUGUGUUUUUAAGCAGAUAUUUGACGAAAGAUGGGUGUUUUCUGUGCCCACUGAGGAGUGAGCAGUAAAAGGAAUGCAGUAAAAAUUGCCAAGGUUGACUAAGGACAGAUAAGAGUCACAAAUUUAUUAUAAUUAAGUAGGCUGCCCCUGCCUCUCAAGCUGUUGUACUCUCUACUUCCAUUAACAAAAUAGAAGACAUGAAGAGCAGAGAAGAGUAAGGAGAGAUAAAUAAAUAUUGAUCAGUUAUUCACUGCUGAAUCUAAAUAAGAGGAAUGUGCCAUGGUGAAUCCUAGCAGUUUUAGUUUCAAUUAUACUAGAAAUACAAUGGAAAGAUUACUUGUUUGACAGCUAUACUAUACUAUACUAUAAAAUCUUUUUAGUAUGUAUAGGGACAAGGUUGCUCACUGACGCUUACAAGCAUACAUAUUGAAAGCAAACCCAUACCCUAACACCUAAGGAUAAUGCCAGUGAUGCUUUUUUGCAGCCUAACCUCUGUAGCUAGCCAGGGAAUUGCAGCUCAUAUAAACAAAUCCAGCUUCACUAACCCCUCAAAACAUUGCUUGUAUUUCUGUUUCCAUCGUAACAGCAGUGUACUUUUCAGUCAGAACAUUCCAUAUCAUCUUUAGUGAAAAAAAAUCUGUGUACAACUGUUUUUUUUUGUCCCGAGUAGACUGGUUCAUGUAUCUGAACUUGCCUCCAGCAUUUUACAUGUUGUUACUGUUCAGUUUCUGUGGUAGCUACAUCAUCUUUGAUACUAUAGAAACGGUACGUGUCUUGUUUUUAGAAAUUUGACAUCAACUUAAUUUUCUCAUGACAUACAUAGUCUCUGUACAUGAGCUAAACCUUUUUGCCUGAAUGAAAUAAAUCAGAAAAAUGGCAUUAAAUGUGAUUGUGUGCAUGCCUGCUUGCAGGUGUGUGUAUUAGUGCAGUGAUGUGUAGUUAUGUAUACAGAACAGGUGACAACACAACCCCUCCCAGAAACAGAGGUUUCUGCAAACUGACCCUGCAGUAUGGUGGGCUUUGUGAUUAAUGGGGGGGACGGAGCACAGGAGGGCUGAAGCAUGAUUAAUUGAGCUCAAGACCUCAUCUGCAAUAUUUUGAUGAAAAUGAAGAGAGGAAGUAGGGUUGUUUUGUGUGCAAGUGACAGUUGUGUGUGUUCAUGUUUUUGGGGGGAUGGAGGAUUGUAUGGUAAGGACAAAGUGUCCUUUUGAUUGCAUGUGUUCAUAUACAGGAGUAUACCUAAGUAAGUGUUCUUGUGUGCGUGCUUAUGCAUGAUUCUUCUUGUUUUUCUUCUCCCUUUUCCAUAUUUUGUAAAACUCAACAGUAACAGGCAUUCAUUCUUCUCCUUACAAGUGUACAAAUCAUUUAACCUUGCCAAGAACAAAACUACAGUUUACAGUUGAGCUUUUGAUAAAGUUUAAGUUACCCUUGCCUGAGGGGAAUGACAUUGUGCUUCAGUAACUUUUAUCUUAUUCUGUUUCACGACUUCCUCAAGCCGUGCAGAGUUACGAAACCGAUCCAAAAUGGUGAGGAUACACCUUGAGAGAGAGCAUUAAAACAGCCUUUACAGAUGAGCUGCAAUUAUCACUCAGCAUGUUAAGGGCUGAAUUGUGCUCAAGAGGAAAGUCACUCUACUGCAUUUGCCUGAUUGAAAAUCAGUUCUCAUAAACACCGCAAUCACCUUUAUAGUCUGCCCCAGACAGUUUGAUCCUCAGGGGCUGUAAUAAACACCCAUGGGAAUAUGAGGUGACAACACAGUUACCGUUAUGUGAUAAGUGAGAAGUGAUAGCUUUCGUUGCCAUGAAUGUAUUUCCUUCAAUUGAUAUUAGACUGAAGGAUCUAAUUAGUAUGUAAGCUGCAGUGGGUACUGGGUAAGUUUUUGUACAGUAUAUAUAAACAUACAAAUUUUUUUGCUCUUUCAACCACUAAAUUGCUCUUUUGAAAGCUGAUGAGUACAUGUCACCUCCUUUUUUAUAUAAAUAAACUGUAGUAAAAUGAAAUUUCAUGUACACUGAUUUUCAUAGUGUAGUUACUAUUUCUGGCUCAUCUGUCAUUUACUCAAGAAUACAAGAAGCCUAAUGGCAGUGCAGUGCUCAGCUUGGCUCAGUCCAGUAUGAUUCCAUACGACGAUGAUGUAUCUGACUGCAUCCUUUCCUCUUGUUCUCAUUGAUAAUAUUAUUAGAUGAUCACAAACAUUAGAUUUAUGAGACUGAAAAUAUAGUUUUUAUGCUAUACUCCUGCCUGUCUUUAAAUUGCUGCCGAUCAGGCCUGGCACAAGAACAACUUGCUGUUGUAAACCUCCAUCUAUCCAUUUUUUUUUUGGUCAAACACUUAAUACCUCUCUUGAGAAGCAAUUAAUGCUCAAAAUAAAACUCACAACAUAUGCAGUGUUUUGCAUCAUAUUGUGCCAUCAGUCAAAAUUCUCCAGACGGGGCUAAUAAUAUGAGUUACCUUUCGUUUCCUGUAAAAAACAACGUAUAAAUAGAAGCUGAAAGAAUUAUUGAGAUUUAGAAUGACAUGUUGCAUCUGUGCUCUACAACUGAAUGUGACAGGACUAACUGCAAUGCUGUUUUGUUUUUCUUCCAGGCCAGUCUAAAUGCAAAAGAGAUGCAGACUGAGAAAGGAUGAUGAAUUCUCUUCUUAGGGUUGCUCUGACUGUAUAUCUCAAAGAAGCGGGCUUUAAACCCCCUAAAAUGGAUCCAAUUACGAAGAGGGCUUUUUGGUGAUGCUUGUGGAACUGUGUGUAAUUGUGUAACCCUAAUUUUCCUGGCACGGAGGCUCUGACAGAGGCCUGUCAUCUCCUCUAAGGCUCUUCUUUCAGGCACGAUGCUGAAAUGAGAUCUCGUCUUAGCUGCAGAAAUGCUGAAAGUAAUAUAACGGACACCAAGAGAACAAAAUCACCUUCUUACAGAGAAAUCCCUUAGAAAAAGGGCUUUAGCUUCCAUAUCUACACUGGUCUCUCAGCUGACAUGAUGCAGUGAAGAGUGCUGUGUGAUAUCUACUUAUAGUGCAGUCUUACACAUUAGAAGAAAUUUUUCAUCUCUUAAAGCACUGAGAAAUUUAAUGUUGGUGCAUAAACCCCCCCCCCCAAACAAACUAUAUUCAGUGCAUAGUUGUGUAAAUGUAUGCUCUUGAAAAAAGCAAAAAUUUAUAAAAGCCUAAUGACGGAAAAGGACCAGACUGGCUUUGGUGGCUGUCUAAAUUCACCUUUGUGCACCCAUUCCACCUGCCUGUGUCUCUCAGACCUCAUAAUCGGCAGCAGCAUCCUCUGGCAUGGCAAUCUAAUGGCUCAUAAAUGUUUUAUAGCAGUGCAUGAUCUAGCUGUUCUGUAUCUACCUCUGCUAUUAUGUGUUCUUUGAGAGAAAGAGAUGAAAAACAGUCAGUUCCCUAUGAAUGAAUGGAUUUCAGUAAUAUUUUUUUUUAAGUCAUACAUAAUAAUGAAACUCUUUCAUUUUUUUUUCUGUCACUGAGAAACAAGAGCCAUGUUAACCAUACUGAUAUUCUUCUGAUGAUAAUGAAUUGUUUUGAAUAGUUGGUUUAAGAAAACGGGAUUGUGUGUGUACGUGUGUGUGUGUGUGUGUGUGUGUAAAUUACUGCAGAUAGUAGUAGCAAAUCUUCUGCCUUUGAUCUUUGCAACCAUCAAAGAGAUCCGACCUCCCAAAGUCAGACAGCCAGCAACAUGCAGUGCUGAAUUUCAUAUGCUUUGAGAGAACGUCAAACAGCAUCUCUUCAUUUCUCCCUUGCUGGUCAGUAAUCUCUGUAAAAGAAAUACUAUGAGACUGCAUAGAUAAUAAACUGCCAGCUGCUAGCACAUACUUAGCACAAUAACAAAUGUAAAGGCGAACUACUACAUGUAGCAGUGAGUGUAAAAAUAACAAUUCAGUUAUUGUAUGGCCCAGUUUGAUCUUUUCUUACACUCUUAUGACAAUAAAUCCAUUGUAGUAAAAAUACCCAUUUGCUUUAAUUGAAUGGAUUAGAAUGGAAUGCUUGAUCAAACUACCGUAGCUUUUUGCUUCACAUUAGUAAUUACUGCUUUUACAUCUCUGUGAUUGAGAUGGUUAGAUUUGUGUUUUUUCUUUGGUGUCUUCUAAGAAUUUGCUACUUAAAAAUCAAAAACUAUAGCCAAUAUUCCUUUUAGGGCACUCUUCUUGUGCAUAUCUGGGUGGCUUCCAGUGCAACUUCAGUUUUUAGAAUUAUAAAUUAUAAAGUAUUGUGAUCAUGUCUAUAUUUUCAUCAAACUAAACAUAGAUAGUAGUCAUCAACUGUCUCGGAAACUCACUCCAUUUUCAUUUGGUAAAUCGCCACUGGUGGUAAAAGUGAGGUCUCUGGCUGUGGUCCACCAGUUUUCAGCUUCUGUUCUCAAAAACAUUCACAAGGAUGUGCAACUUUAUUUCAUCCUCCGAGGUCAAACUGUCAACUAAACAUGUAACACCCUAAUGUAUCUGAGGAAAGACCUUAUCUGUGACACAUGCUAUUGUGUGCCAGCGCACUGUGCAUUGGAAGAACCAACACAAUUAGUCAUACCAACACAAUCUUUGCUAACCACCAACCCACUUGGCUGUUAGCAAGUUCUUUCACUUCUACAGAAUAAAAGUCAAGCUGAUGGUUCACUGUUUUGACACGCUGGAGGAAAUCUAGUGCACACAACAGGGGCACAAGUGCAAGGGGACAGAACAAGACCUACUCUGAGUGAUCUAAAUAAAGCCACCGUGCUGGAAGCCCUCUCUGAACAUGCUCAUGAAGAUGAACUUCAAAGGUUACUGCUGGAACACCGUAUUUUCCCAGUGGAGACCAUGAAGAUUAUACUUCAUCAUAUUGUGUAAAUAUUCAGCCAAACUAAGCCAAUGUGUUGUGUCCUGGUGUAUGAUUUUCUAGUGUAUGUAUAACUUGUUAGAUUUUUGCAAUAUCCACACUUGUUCUGCUUUUCUAUAAUGCAGGUCUCGACCAAAACAGACAAAGUAAACUCCUAAAACAAUCACUCAAAUAUGAUUUCUGUACAUAUGCUGCACCAAUCACAAAUAUUUGUGCGCACAAUUUUCAAGUAGGAAUACAAUUAAAUGUAUGAUAAAGAUAAGUCUCUUCACUGUAGGUAAAGAUAAGUUUUCCUUAUCCAUUUAAACUUCAUUUGCAUUAAUGUGGUGUGCUGUUUGCCUUUGCCAAGCAAAUUGAAAGCUGUUCCUUCAAACAAACACGUUCUGUAAAUAGUCGGGGAAAAAAAGGUCUCAAUCCUAAAUUAACCAAUUUUUCAUUAUGCUCUAAUAGCAAUGGCUUUUAAUUAAACAUGCCUUUCCCAAAAUAAAAAUGCAUUAAACAGGCAUGUGCACUAUUAAAUUGUUAUUUUCCCCACUACUAAUUUGCUGGACUGGAGGCUGGUGGUUGUAAGUUAUUUUUGUCUUGUCAAAGUGACAAAAUUAUUUAAACUUUUCUUUACCUUCACCCGAGCAUAUUUUUCCACACAUAAGCUUUUUAGGGUCAGAACAAUAUUUACACUUUUGCCACCAGGGAGCUGUUAAUCUGUGGCUUGCACUCCUUGCUGCUGAAAUGACUCCUUCCCUGCGAUUGCUCCAGGAAAUUAAGCUUAUUUGACUGUUUCCCAUACAGUGAUUCACUCAGAGGAGCAGUAUCUGUAAACAUAAACUUAAAAGUUAUUAUGCCUUUAGAUACUGUGUGUGGGAUUUAUGCAACUUCUUCUUAAUUUGUCUCUGCAGCUUAUUUUAAUGUGGGGCGUUUGAAGAGCAAGUUUAAAAUUAGUAUUUUUCUGCCACAUUUCAUCCCCUGCGUUGCUCUUCAUUUAGCUGAAUUGCAGGCAGUCAUUGAAAUUCUGAAGACAAUGGGUAACCCUUUAGCUCAACCAAGAUUUGUAAUUUACCACAGUGAAGUUCAACAUCCACAAUGCAAUCUCUGCGCACCCACGACAACCAUCGACCUGUCUUCUGUUUGUGAGAUUUAUUCAAAUGUUGUUUUGCAGCUUUCUCAAGAUAUUUGCUACAGGCGGCUGGUAAUUGUACACAGUAUGAAUUGUAGACACUGAUUACUUGUUUGUUUCAUAACCGGGAAGAGACAACGAAGUGAAGAGACAUUUACAAUUGAUCUGUUUGCAGAGCCACUGCAGGAUUCAAUUUGUUAACUUUGUUAAUGUGUUGAUAGUUAAGCUAAGCUUUUACCAUUCACCUAUAUGUCAUUUUGACUUAUUUAAAUACUUAUUUAUUGCUUUUUACGUAAUGUAAUUUUCGGGUUAUUGUUUUGAUCAGUCACAAUUCCUGAUGGUAAAGCUACAAAAUGUAGCGGCUGUCAUACUUCUCUUUUUGAAGAAUGGGCUAAAAUGUGAACGGGCAGACUCACAUUCACAGACUUCUGAAGACCCACCAGAGACCACAGUAGCGUCUUUACAUUCACUCGCAUUUUAGGGUUACCAGUUAACCUAACCCCAUGUCUCUGGACUGGGGGCAGAAGCCAGACUACCCAGAGAGAACUCGGGCAAACAGGGAGAACAUGCAAACUCCACGCAGAAAGGUCCGGGCCAGAUGACGGAGGCAAACUAAUGGCGUUCUUGCUGUGAGGCAGCAGUGCUAACCACUGUACAUCUGUGCUGCCCCUCAACACAUUUAUAAAGAUCUCAAUUUCUUGAAACAGUUUUGCAUUGUUUAAAUCCUUUUUUGUUAUGUUGCAGCACUUCUUAUGUUGACGUCACCAGUUAUUCAGCAGCAACAUCAGCGGCAUACUUUUUCAAGUAUAGCAAUUUCCUGUGUAAAACACAGAGCAAAAAUUACUUUAUAUGUAUAAAAAAAAAUUACUCUGAUGUAAAGGCUAUCUCUGCAAUCAAGUCUCGCCCUGCUGACGUAAUGUUAACCCAUCUUGCACAGCUGUCAGCCACAUCUAUCUUCCUGUGAGGGGAAAUGACAAAUAUUUUCCAUUAACAACUAAAUCACAUGAUAAAGGAGAAUAAAUAAAUGUAAAUUUAAUUACCCUCCAUGCUUUUGUCGGCAUUCAUGCGACAUUGGGAGUCUACUUGUGGGAAUUUUUCGUUCAGGAGACAUUGAUUAAUUAUGCCACACACAAUUAGCCUAUCAAAUCGAGUGUGUCCUCCUCUCCUGUGGAAAGGUGAUGUCAGAAUUUUAUGGGGCAUUAGGCAGUAGUGCUCCUUGUGUUU